AUUGAACGCUGGCGGCAUGCCUUACACAUGCAAGUCGAACGGCAGCACGGGAGCAAUCCUGGUGGCGAGUGGCGGACGGGUGAGUAAUAUAUCGGAACGUGCCCAGUCGUGGGGGAUAACGUAGCGAAAGCUACGCUAAUACCGCAUACGAUCUAUGGAUGAAAGCGGGGGAUCGCAAGACCUCGCGCGAUUGGAGCGGCCGAUAUCAGAUUAGGUAGUUGGUGAGGUAAAGGCUCACCAAGCCGACGAUCUGUAGCUGGUCUGAGAGGACGACCAGCCACACUGGGACUGAGACACGGCCCAGACUCCUACGGGAGGCAGCAGUGGGGAAUUUUGGACAAUGGGCGCAAGCCUGAUCCAGCAAUGCCGCGUGCAGGAUGAAGGCCUUCGGGUUGUAAACUGCUUUGUACGGAACGAAACGGUGAGCUCUAAUACAGUUUGCUAAUGACGGUACCGUAAGAAUAAGCACCGGCUAACUACGUG
rnacentral:rRNA from 1 species